UCAAACAUAUUAUGUUGGUGUUGCUUGAAUCAUGUUAAGUUGAAGUUAAAGUUGAGAUAAAUUAAGUUAAAGAGACUUUUUCUUGUUUCUGCAGUUACUGCUUCAUUAUUUUACUUGCUGUGCUGAUAAACAAAGUGUGUCUGCAAAUCCCAGUAGAGGCUGUUAUUGGUGGUUCUGUAGUCCUGCCGUGUUCCUCAGCUGAAAAUGAUCAUAAACCUCAAGACAUUGAUGUGAGCUGGAGACACAAUGGGAGCAAAAUUGUAUUUGAUAUAAUUCCACUCAGAAAUUCACCAAUGACACAGGAUCCAGAGUACAGGAACCGAAUUGAAACUUUCCCUCAGGAGUAUCUGAAAGGAAAUUUCUCCAUCAAACUCAUCAAUCUUCAACAUACUGAUGCAGGACAAUACAUUUGUUAUAUGAAAAACUAAAAUAAAUAUCAGACUCUAAAGCUGAUCAUCAGUGAACAGGAGGGAAAGGGGCCACGACUGUCUUUGCUCUUGAUUUGUAUUAUAUCACCUGUGUUAUUGGUUAUUAUUUUCAUUGCAGUUUUCUUUAGAAAAAGGUGCUCAAGCAGCCAGAGGGCAACUGGAAAUGGCAUGAGUUUGGCCAAUCUUGAAUAAGUAUGAAUCAGGCUGAUAAUCAUGAUGAAGAAGUUGCUAAAUACCAUUACUUUCUUGCAGCAAUGGCAGGAGCAUUUGCAUUAAACAUGGAAGCAUUAAGUAUCUGCCUUCUCUCUUUUUUCACCUUGUAAUUUAAAUAUUGUGAAGACAUAUGCACACAAGUUCUAACUGAGUAAACAACUCCACAAAAGCAUUUCCAGCUUCAAUUGUUACUAACCAGAUUUACUUUAUUUAUGUCCCACAUCUACAGAAGUUCUUAUUGAGAA